UCCUCGUUGACGCAAUUGGUUAGCGUGUCAGACUUUUACACAUAAGUAAGUGAGAUCUGAAAGUUGAGGGUUCGAGUCCCUCACGAGGAG
rnacentral:tRNA from 1 species